rnacentral:lncRNA from 1 species
UUUUUUUUUUUUUUUUUUUUGCUUUUUUGGGCCGUAUGUGCAGCAUAUGGAAGUUCCUGGGGUAGGAGUUGAAUCGGAGCUGCUGAGCCCAGCCUAUGCCACAGCCGCAGCACCUCAGGAUCCAAGCCACAUCUGGGACCUACACCCCACCUCACUGCAAGGCUGGAUCCUUAACCCACUAAGUGAGGCCACGGAGCGAACCUGCAUCCUCACAGAUACUAGUCAGGUUCAUUUCUGCUGAGCCACAAUGGGAACUCCUAGAGACACUUUAUUUGCUAUAAAUUUUUGAUUCAGUAACAUUGAAUUCAUCACCCCUGUAAUUCAUGCCUGAGUGAAGCAUAUAUAUAGCACAUGUGUUUUCUCCAUCAGGCACAUGGCAGACUCUAGGUACAGUAAUGCAUUUCAGCACUACCUUUGGGGGUUGCUUUCAACAGAAAAAUCACUAAGAAAAAAAGGACAAAAAUUUGAAAAGUGUGGCACUAAACAGACUGUGAAGAGGACACUUGUUUAUGGUGAGAGCUGAAACAAGGAGACUGAACUUUGCUUCCUUAGACCUCAGAUGGGAACAUGCCACCAAAUUUUUCACCACUUUGCCCAUGUCCAUGAAUGGCUGCAAAAGCACUGCAAAUACUGAUUUUGGAGGUAUAGAUAUAUUUUAGAGAGUAGGAAAAUUCACAAAUACAUAAUCCAUGGCAAGUGAUGAUCCAAUGUAUUUCCAUUUUAUACUGCCCCAUUUCCAAUUGUACCUGCAGGUUUUUCAUUAAAUUUGUUGACCAGUAGUUUCUUGAAUGUCUUCUCUGCAUAAUGAGAUUGUAAGUACAUUGUGAGCAAGUACCAUAAACUAUUAUUUUCAAAUUUUACCCUACCUAGUACUAUAGUAAUUACACAAUAGAUUGUAGAUAAAAAUUUUUUUGAAUGAAUGGUUAUUGCUGGACCAGAAAUAGAGACCUGGGAAAGAUCAGAAUAUUCGAUACACCUCUAAUACACCUAUACUAUAACCUCUGGUUUGUGAUUUGUAAGGAGAAAUGUAGCACUUUUUCACGGCAACACCGGAUCCUUAACCUACUGAGCAAAGCCAGGGAUUGAACCUGUGUCCUCAUGAAUACUAGUCAGAUUCAUUAACCACUGAUCCACGACAGGAACUCCUGUAGUACUUUGAAAUAAGCAACAGAGAUUAAUGAAUAUCCUUUCAAUGGAACUGAUCCUAAAAGAUAUUCACCUUUAUCUUGGAUUAGACUCUUUUAGCAUUUCGUAGAAAAUUAUUUGUGGAGAACUGAUGAUAAUACAAACAAUUAUUGUCUAUGAAUAUGUGAACGAAUUUUAUCCAAAGGAGGGAGAACUCUCCUCUGUAGAAAAGCCAGUUUGUAUCCACUUGUAAGUUCAGUAUUCCUGUGCUCUAAAAUGUCUGCUUUUUCAGAUUCUACUUGAAUAGAUUGUAAUAUCUCUCUGGUUCUCUUUUUAAUGAGUUAAAUGAAAUUAUUUUGUAUGAUUUUACUUUUUUUUUUUUUUUUGAGAAUUAUCCUUAAACACUUUUGCAGUUCCCACUGAGAUGCCCCAUGUGUUCAUCCAACAGCCAGGUGAACUUUACCACCAGGGAAGUGUACCGUGGGUUGCUAAAUCCAGAUACUUCUUUUCCUGCUCCCAGAGGUUAAUCUGAAGCACAGUAGAGUUCUUUAGGUCUCUGCUUCUCUGUUUUCCUCACCUACUUUUUCUCCUCCACCAAUUUUUGAGGUUUGAGCUUGGCCAGUAAAUUAUUUCCCUUUCAUGGCAGCAAGGAUCAGGAAUGUAGUUGUGUGGUCUCACCAUUUGGUGGGCCCUAUAAAGGGAUUAACGAUUUAUGGAUAUCUAUUUCCUUCCUUCCUUCCUUCCUUCCUUCCUUCCUUCCUUCCUUCCUUCCUUCUUUUCCUUUCCUUUCCUUUCCUUUCCUUUCCUUUUUAGGGCCGCAUUUGUGGCAUAUGGAAGUUCCCAGACUAGGGGUCGAAUUGGAGCUGUAGCUGCUGGCCUACUCCACAGCCACAGCAACAUGGGAUCCGAGCCACAUCUGCGUCCUACACCACAGCUUAUGGCAACGCCGUAUCCUGAACCCACUGAGUGAGGCCAGGGAUUGAACCUGCAUCCUCAUGGAUACUAGUCGGAUUCGUUUCUGCCGCUCCCCUAUGGGAACUCCCUAUGGAUAUCUAUUUUCUGUUAAGUGGGAGACAGCAAAGAAUCUGGAUUCUUGACUUACCGCACCACAGCGGAAACUCCUGUAUUUCUUCUUGAUCCAUGGAAGUUGUUCUUCCUGCUGAAAACUAAAGUGGGUAAGACUGCUCCUCUCUUCUGUUGGAGGUGCCAUGGCUGAUGAUGGAGGAGAGAGGAGCAUGGACAGGUGCAGGGACGCGAAGUCUGAGCGUGGCUCUCCUCCAGAGGAGUAAGUCGCUAGUGGAGGCACUUUUCAGAGUGGGAUAGAGGCAUGGAAAACCUCAUUAAGGAAUGAAGGGCUCUACAGCUAGAAAUAGAGAUGAUUAGAGCUAUAGAAAUGUGACAGCAGGUAAUAUUCAGAAGUAUGAAUUUUGAGCAAUAACAAAGCAACUUAGAAUUACCAGAAAUUUGUUUUUCAAAUCCCUCAGCAGGGGCAUGACCAUUUCAGGUGUCUGGUCUGGGAUGUCCAGACUGGAUCAGCUACAAGGCAGAGUCAGGAUUAUGACAAAAGAAAAAUCCAGAACGGACAGAAGCAGAAAUAUUAGCCAUCUGGAGAAGACUAGUUUUGACAGGACAGGAGGAGUUGGAAAUUAAUACUAUAAUUAACUGGUCAAGGGGUCCAAACUUUCAGUUAUAAGAUGAAUAAGUUCUGAGAUCUGAAGUGCAGCAUAAUGACUAUGGUUAAUAAAAAUAUGUACCUGAAAUUUGCUAAGAUAAGUGUUCUCACCACACAUACAGGCAAUGAUAACUAAGUGGGGAGAGGGAUAGGAUAUGUUAAUUAACUAGUGAUAAUCAUUUCAAAAUCUUUAUAUAUAUCAAAACAUGUACACCUUAAUAUAUAUACACGGGUUUUGUUUGUUUGUUUUGCUUUGGCCCCACCUGUGGAAUGGGGAAGUUCUCAGGCCAGGGAUCAAACCUGACCCACAGCAGUGACAAUGCUGAGUCCUUAACCACUAGGCCACAGGGGAACUCCUAAUACAUACAGUUUUUAUUUGUCAAUCAUACUUCAGUAUUCUGGGAUUGGGGGGAGAAGUUAAUGCCAUAACCAGAGGAUAGCACUUGUGGUUUUUUAAGUUUCAAUUUAAAUAAUCUCUCCAGAUGUACUGUUAUAUCUCUAUACCAGGUGGACUUCAAUGACAUUUGUAGUUAAGAUUCAUUCACUCUUUCAUUUAGUCAUUUAUCACAACACUCAGUUUAAAGAAAUAAAGUAUUAAAAAGUAGCUGAGGGGAGUUCCCGUCAUGGCUCAGUGGAAAGGAAUCUGACUAGUAUCCAUGAGGAUGCAGGUUUGAUCCCUGGCCUCGCUCAGUGGGUUAAGGAUCCGAUGUUGUGGUGAGCUGCGGUGUAGGUCGCAGACGUGGCUUGGGUCCCAAGUUACACUGGCUGUGGUAUAGGCCAGCGGCUUUAACCUGAUUCAACCUCUAGCCUGGGAACGUCCAUACGCCGCCAGUGCAGCUCUAAAAAAAAAAAGUAGCCGAGGAAUUCCCUGGUGGCUUAGUGAUUAAGGAUUCAGCGUUGUCACUGCUGUGGUGCAGGUUCGAUCCCUGGCCUAGGAACUCCUGCAUGCCAGGGGCGCGGCCAAAAACUAACAUAGCUGAAACCUCUUGGCACUUCACCCACAACUCCUUCAUCUCCCCAGAUGUGACUACUCUCCUGAUUUUCCUCCUUUUCAUUUCCACAUAUGCUCUUAUGUAUUUCAAUGGAUGUAAGUGUACCAAACAGUUUGUAAUGUUUCAUGUAACAUAUUUUAAAACUAUGUAUAAGUGGGGUACUCUGUAUCUUCGUGCAACUUGCUUUUUCAUCUUAAUGUUGUAAUUUAAGGGAGUUCCUGUUGUGGCUCAGGGGUAAUGAAUUUGGCUAGUAUCCACGAGGAGGUGGAUUUGAUCCCCAGCCUUGCUCCAGCAUUGCUGUGCGCUGUGGUGUAGGUCAUCGACGCCACUCAGGUUCCACGUUGCUGUGGCCAUGGUUGUGGCUGGCAGCUGCAGCUCCAAUGUGACCCCUAGCCUGGGAACUUCCAUAUGCCACAGGUGCAGCCAUAAAAGGCAAAAAAAAAAAAAUAAAUAAAUUGUAAUUUAAGACUUACCCAUGUGUAUACCUCCAAUACUGGUUCAUUCACUUUUCAGUACUGUACAGCAUUCCAAAUACAAGGCAUAAUUUAUUAAUCCUUUAUUCUGCUGGUAUACAUUUAUAUUGUUUACAAAAACUGUAAACAAUAGUU